ACGUACACUCCUACGGGAGGCAGCAGUGGGGAAUUUUGGACAAUGGGCGAAAGCCUGAUCCAGCCAUGCCGCGUGCAGGAUGAAGGCCUUCGGGUUGUAAACUGCUUUUGUACGGAACGAAACGGCCUUUUCUAAUAAAGAGGGCUAAUGACGGUACCGUAAGAAUAAGCACCGGCUAACUACGUGCCAGCAGCCGCGGUAAUACGUAGGGUGCAAGCGUUAAUCGGAAUUACUGGGCGUAAAGCGUGCGCAGGCGGUUAUGUAAGACAGUUGUGAAAUCCCCGGGCUCAACCUGGGAACUGCAUCUGUGACUGCAUAGCUAGAGUACGGUAGAGGGGGAUGGAAUUCCGCGUGUAGCAGUGAAAUGCGUAGAUAUGCGGAGGAACACCGAUGGCGAAGGCAAUCCCCUGGACCGGUACUGACGCUCAUGCACGAAAGCGUGGGGAGCAAACAGGAUUAGAUACCCCAGUAGUCCCAUGA
rnacentral:rRNA from 1 species